rnacentral:rRNA from 1 species
GUGGGGAAUAUUGGACAAUGGGCGAAAGCCUGAUCCAGCCAUGCCGCGUGUGUGAAGAAGGUCUUCGGAUUGUAAAGCACUUUAAGUUGGGAGGAAGGGCAGUAAGUUAAUACCUUGCUGUUUUGACGUUACCGACAGAAUAAGCACCGGCUAACUUCGUGCCAGCAGCCGCGGUAAUACGAAGGGUGCAAGCGUUAAUCGGAAUUACUGGGCGUAAAGCGCGCGUAGGUGGUUUUGUAAGUUGUAGGUGAAAUCCCCGGGCUCAACCUGGGAACUGCCUCCAAAACUGCAUGACUAGAGUACGGUAGAGGGUAGUGGAAUUUCCUGUGUAGCGGUGAAAUGCGUAGAUAUAGGAAGGAACACCAGUGGCGAAGGCGACUACCUGGACUGAUACUGACACUGAGGUGCGAAAGCGUGGGGAGCAAACAGGAUUAGAAACCCCGGUAGUCC